GACGAACGCUGGCGGCGUGCUUAACACAUGCAAGUCGAACGAAGUGGCGAACGGGUGAGUAACGCGUAAUCAACCUGCCCUUCAGAGGGGGACAACAGUUGGAAACGACUGCUAAUACCGCAUACUGAAGGAGGGGAUUGCGUCUGAUUAGCUAGUUGGAGGGGUAACGGCCCACCAAGGCGAUGAUCAGUAGCGGGUCGGAAGGGUUAAACUGCCACAUUGGGACUGGGACAGGGCCCAGACUCCUACGGGAGGCAGCAGUGGGAAGUCUUCCGCAAGGGACGAAAGUCUGAGGGAGCAACCCCGCGUGAGUGAUGACGGCCUUGGGUGUGUAAGGCUCUGUUAAUCGGGACGCGGUACCGGAAUAGAAGGCCACGGCUAACUACGUGCCAGCCGCCGCGGUAAUA
rnacentral:rRNA from 1 species